UCUCUCUGUCUCUCCCUCUCUUCAGUAACUCUGCCUCUCAAAUAAGUAAAUAAAUAAAAUAAAAUAAAAUAAAAUAAAAUAAAAUAAACCACCUUUCUCAGCAGGCUGGAUGUGGCACAGGGUCAGAGCUUGCCAACCUCCCGUUCUGGGCUCAGAAGGGGCCUAGGAAAGGAAGGCUUCGGUCUAAGAAGCGACAGCACUUCUACAAACUCCUGGACAAUGGAACUACAAGAUGCUUGUUUGCAGUGGUCCUAGCUUUAUGGAGGAAACUUCGAUCUGAAUUUUCACUUUGCACUGGACUAGGCUUUGGACAAAGGUGCUGGGACUUACUUGUUACAACUGAAGCUAUGGGACACUUGAAUUUGGUGAGGUCCCCUGAUAGGUAGAUGUAUCCAGUGCAGCCAGCAUCUUCAGCACUCAUAUGCAUAUCUAGAUUUCUGGCUGUCCUUGUGUUGGGCUUUUAAGGUUUUUCUUCACUUUCUUGCUAGCUCAAUGGUGCACUUAAGGAGCCUUUAAAAAACUUUUAUUUUAUUUAAGAGGUGGAGGAAAGAGAGUGAGCACGAGAGAGUGAGAUGCCACCAGCUGGUUCACUCCCCAAUGCCCACAACUCCCAGGGCUGGACCAGGCUGAAGCUGGGAGCCCAGAACUGAAUCCAAGUCUCCCUCAUGGGUGGCAGGGAUCCAGCUACUUGAGUCGCCACUGCAGCCUCCAGGGUGUGCAUUAGCAGCAGGCUGGAACUGGAAGUGGAUCUAGGACUUGGACCCAGGCACUCCAAUAUGGGAUGAGUCGAGAAGUUAGACUGGACACUCCAUCAGUAAAGAAAGAAAAGGACAAAGUCUGAGUGAAAGUGAAUUUGCUCCAAAAAACCUGUGACAUCAUUGUCAGGGAACUAAAAGGCGCAUAAAAGACGCGGUGAGUGAGAGAGGAACCACUUGCUCUGUGGGAAGAAGGCGUGGCCAUGGCCGGCGCCUACGAUGCGAACGUUCGCAUUCCCAGCGACGCGGACUGAACAUCUUCCUGGGAUUCCAGACACUUUCGUGGACUGGAUGGCCACGAAGAAUGGACUCUGAGGACAGCGACAUGGAUUUAAGUCAAAUCGAGCAACCUCGGCUGACCAUUACCGAGAAGUUCACAGGGAAUUUCUGAAGGAAUGCAGAAAGUUAACGAAAUCCAACCUAAACAAUUUUACACAAUUUGAACCAUCUCCACGCUUUUAUCAGAACCGUAGGUAU
rnacentral:lncRNA from 1 species